rnacentral:tRNA from 1 species
ACUUAAAUAGCUUAUAGAGAGUGGAACAUUGAAGAUGUUUGGGAGAUAUAUAUAUUUGUCUUUAAGUA